GACGUAGGGGGCAAGCGUUAUUCGGAAUUAUUGGGCGUAAAGCGCUCGUAGGCGGGACUGCAAGUCCGUGUUGAAGGACCUCGGCUCAACUGAGGGACCGGCGCGGAUACUGUGGUUCUUGAGGCAAUCAGAGGGUGAUGGAAUUCCCGGUGUAGCGGUGAAAUGCGUAGAUAUGUCACAGAACACCAAUUGCGAAGGCAGCUUACUAAGGUAUGAUUGACGCUGAGGCACGAAAGCGUGGGGAUCAAACAGG
rnacentral:rRNA from 1 species